rnacentral:rRNA from 1 species
UACGUAGGGCGCAAGCGUUAUCCGGAAUUAUUGGGCGUAAAGGGCUCGUAGGCGGUCCGUCACGUCGGGAGUGAAAACUCAGGGCUCAACCCUGAGCGUGCUUCCGGUACGGGCGGACUAGAGGUAUGCAGGGGAGAACGGAAUUCCUGGUGUAGCGGUGGAAUGCGCAGAUAUCAGGAGGAACACCGGUGGCGAAGGCGGUUCUCUGGGCAUUACCUGACGCUGAGGAGCGAAAGCAUGGGGGAGCGAACAGG